GACGAACGCUGGCGGCGUGCUUAACACAUGCAAGUCGAACGGAAAGGCCCUGCUUUUGUGGGGUGCUCGAGUGGCGAACGGGUGAGUAACACGUGAGUAACCUGCCCUUGACUUUGGGAUAACUUCAGGAAACUGGGGCUAAUACCGGAUAGGAGCUCCUGCUGCAUGGUGGGGGUUGGAAAGUUUCGGCGGUUGGGGAUGGACUCGCGGCUUAUCAGCUUGUUGGUGGGGUAGUGGCUUACCCAGGCUUUGACGGGUAGCCGGCCUGAGAGGGUGACCGGCGACAUUGGGACUGAGAUACGGCCCAGACUCCUACGGGAGGCAGCAGUGGGGAAUAUUGCACAAUGGGCGGAAGCCUGAUGCAGCAACGCCGCGUGCGGGAUGACGGCCUUCGGGUUGUAAACCGCUUUCGGCUGUGACGAAGCGUGAGUGACGGUAAUGGGUAAAGAAGCACCGGCUAACUACGUG
rnacentral:rRNA from 1 species